AGUCCUGCCCUAACCGGACCCGAAGACCACACCCGACGGCGGCGCGCAGGUGCAUGCUCUUUUCGUCUGCCCUUCCUCCUCGCGCUUGCAAAGUUUGAUCCACUUCUCGGCCGCUCUCCUUCUCCAGAUCAGCCGCGCUGAAUAAUCAUAAGGCCGCCUCGCUAUUCGUUUUUACCUCCUCGCCCUCUUUGGCGAUGGAUAAGGACUCUCUUAAGUCUACUUUGGAAGAGGUUCGCAAAUCAGUCGUCCGAAUAUCUUUUGACUGGAAGAGAGAAGAGAAUAUGGAGAAUAUGGUUAUUGCUGGCCUUGUUACCUCCGUCGUUGAUGAAUUAGCUACAAUAAUAGCAAAUCCUGUCUUCUUUAGGAGAUCAAAUGAGUUCUCUGUGCGUCUUCCACAGAAUGGGGGAUAUGGAGAAUUAAUUAAGAUCUCGUGUUCUUUGGUUAAAUAUCCGACCAAUAAUUUUUUCACAUUUCUUCUUGAGCUGAAAGGAAAUGCCUACAGAAAACCUGUCAACUUUGAACUUGGAAUCCAAGAAGAUGUUCGCCAGUUUAUGCCUUCGUUUUCCCUAGGGAAAAACAUGUCACACCAGUUGGCUUUUGUGAAGGCAACAUAAUUGAUUCAACUCAAGUGAGACAGAAAGAUGUCAACGUUUUCUUUCACAACUGUGCGAUGCAUGAAUAUGGAUAUUUGGGAUCGCCUGUGUUCAACAGAAGAGGACACCUUAUUGGGAUAUCAUAUCUCGAUCGAGGUCAUCUGCAAGCAUGGGGAGUCUACCGACUACAAAACGAUGUGCUUUCCAAAUUAGAUGGGAUUUGUUAUGUUUUGGAUGGAGCCGUGGCUAGAAGCCCCAAAUGACACGAAAAUAAAAUGCCCUAUCUACAUCAACAGUCCUUGUUUGAAAAAAAAAUGCAGCUUGCUAGGGAAAAAUGUUAUUGGGACUAUUCGCAGUUGGCGACCUCAACAGAAGAAGAUCAAUGAUAUCACCAUGUCCACCUGAGGCGUCAGUAGUUAUAAUCUAGUCUACUUGUUGGUGUAGUUUUUAUCUGUACAACUAUGUGAUUUGUUAGGAACCAUAGCGCUAUGUAGAGAUGGUUUGGUGCAUGCCAUAGUCUGAAAGUGAUGGGACUUUAAACUCUUUCUGGUUCA